AUUGAACGCUAGCGGGAUGCCUUACACAUGCAAGUCGAACGGAGUGGCGAACGGGUGAGUAAUGUAUCGGAACGUGCCCAGUAGCGGGGGAUAACUACGCGAAAGCGUAGCUAAUACCGCAUACUAUUGGAGCGGCCGAUUUCGGAUUACCUAGGUGGGGGGGUAACGGCUCACCAAGGCGACGAUCCGUAGCUGGGUUGAGAGGACGACCAGCCACACUGGGACUGAGACGCGGCCCAGACUCCUACGGUAGGCAGCGGAGGGGAGUUUUGGACAAGUGGGGGGACCCUGAUCCAGCCAUCCCGCGUGUGCGAUGAAGGGCUUCGGGUUGUGGAGCACUUUUGGCAUGAUAGCGGUACCUGCAGAAUAAGCACCGGCUAACUACGUGCCAGCAGCCGCGGUAAUUC
rnacentral:rRNA from 1 species